rnacentral:snoRNA from 1 species
AGCACUGGUAUUGACAGGUACAAAAGUCAAUCCUCUUUUGCAACCCAGAGAGAACUCAUUGUUCAGUAUGAGCUUUGAUACAUAUAAGAAGGAAUACG